rnacentral:rRNA from 1 species
UUCGCCCUUAGAGUUUGAUCCUGGCUCAGAACGAACGCUGGCGGCAUGCCUAACACAUGCAAGUCGAACGAAGGCUUCGGCCUUAGUGGCGCACGGGUGCGUAACGCGUGGGAAUCUGCCCUUAGGUUCGGAAUAACAGCUGGAAACGGCUGCUAAUACCGGAUGAUAUCGCGAGAUCAAAGAUUUAUCGCCUGAGGAUGGGCCCGCGUUGGAUUAGGUAGUUGGUGGGGUAAAGGCCUACCAAGCCGACGAUCCAUAGCUGGUCUGAGAGGAUGAUCAGCCACACUGGGACUGAGACACGGCCCAGACUCCUACGGGAGGCAGCAGAAGGG